rnacentral:rRNA from 1 species
AGAAGGUUGUCAUGCUCAGGACGAACGCUGCGGAGUCAUUACACAUGCAAGUCGAACGAUGAACCACUUCGGUGGGGAUUAGUGGCGAACGGGUGAGUAACACGUGGGCAAUCUGCCCUUCACUCUGGGACAAGCCCUGGAAACGGGGUCUAAUACCGGAUAUCACUUCCGCAGGCAUCUGCGGGGGUUGAAAGCUCCGGCGGUGAAGGAUGAGCCCGCGGCCUAUCAGCUUGUUGGUGAGGUAAUGGCUCACCAAGGCGACGACGGGUAGCCGGCCUGAGAGGGCGACCGGCCACACUGGGACUGAGACACGGCCCCUAGAUCUUCCUACGGGAGGCAGCAGUGGGGAAUUAUUGCACAAUGGGCGAAACGCCUGAUGCAGCGACGCCGCGUGAGGGAUGACGGCCUUCGGGUUGUAAACCUCUUUCAGCAGGGAAGAAGCGAAAGUGACGGUACCUGCAGAAGAAGCGCCGGCUAACUACGUGCCAGCAGCCGCGGUAAUACGUAGGGCGCAAGCGUUGUCCGGAAUUAUUGGGCGUAAAGAGCUCGUAGGCGGUCUGUCACGUCGGAUGUGAAAGCCCGGGGCUUAACCCCGGGUCUGCAUUCGAUACGGGCAGACUAGAGUGUGGUAGGGGAGAUCGGAAUUCCUGGUGUAGCGGUGAAAUGCGCAGAUAUCAGGAGGAACACCGGUGGCGAAGGCGGAUCUCUGGGCCAUUACUGACGCUGAGGAGCGAAAGCGUGGGGAGCGAACAGGAUUAGAUACCCUGGUAGUCCACGCCGUAAACGGUGGGAACUAGGUGUUGGCGACAUUCCACGUCGUCGGGUGCCGCAGCUAACGCAUUAAGUUCCCCGCCUGGGGAGUACGGCCGCAAGGCUAAAACUCAAAGGAAUUGACGGGGGCCCGCACAAGCAGCGGAGCAUGUGGCUUAAUUCGACGCAACGCGAAGAACCUUACCAAGGCUUGACAUACACCGGAAACGGCCAGAGAUGGUCGCCCCCUUGUGGUCGGUGUACAGGUGGUGCAUGGCUGUCGUCAGCUCGUGUCGUGAGAUGUUGGGUUAAGUCCCGCAACGAGCGCAACCCUUGUUCUGUGUUGCCAGCAUGCCCUUCGGGGUGAUGGGGACUCACAGGAGACUGCCGGGGUCAACUCGGAGGAAGGUGGGGACGACGUCAAGUCAUCAUGCCCCUUAUGUCUUGGGCUGCACACGUGCUACAAUGGCCGGUACAAAGAGCUGCGAAACCGUGAGGUGGAGCGAAUCUCAAAAAGCCGGUCUCAGUUCGGAUUGGGGUCUGCAACUCGACCCCAUGAAGUCGGAGUUGCUAGUAAUCGCAGAUCAGCAUUGCUGCGGUGAAUACGUUCCCGGGCCUUGUACACACCGCCCGUCACGUCACGAAAGUCGGUAACACCCGAAGCCGGUGGCCCACCCCUUGUGGGAGGGAGCUGUCGAAGGUGGGACUGGCGAUUGGGACGAAGUCGUAACAGGGUAACCCGA